AUUGAACGCUGGCGGCAGGCCUAACACAUGCAAGUCGAGCGAGCGGCGGACGGGUGAGUAAUGUAUGGGGACUGCCCGAUAGAGGGGGAUAACUACUGGAAACGGUGGCUAAUACCGCAUACUAUCGGAUAACCCAUAGGGGAUUAGCUAGUAGGUGGGGUAAAGGGUCACCUGGGCGACGAUCUCUAGCUGGGCUGAGAGGAUGAUCAGCCAAACUGGGACGGAGACACGGCCCAGCGUCCUACGGAGGCAGCAGGGGGGAAGAUUGCACUAUGGGCGAAAGCCUGAUGCAGCCAUGCAGCGGGUAUGAAGAAGGCCUUAGGGUUGUAAGGUACUUUAAGCGGGGAGGCGUUACCCGCAGAAGAAGCACCGGCUAACUCCGUGCCAGCAGCCGCGGUAAUAC
rnacentral:rRNA from 1 species